rnacentral:rRNA from 1 species
GACGAACGCUGGCGGCGUGCCUAAUACAUGCAAGUAGAACGCUGAAGGAGGAGCUUGCUUCUCUGGAUGAGUUGCGAACGGGUGAGUAACGCGUAGGUAACCUGCCUGGUAGCGGGGGAUAACUAUUGGAAACGAUAGCUAAUACCGCAUAACAGUAGAUAUCGCAUGAUAUCUACUUGAAAGGUGCAAUUGCAUCACUACCAGAUGGACCUGCGUUGUAUUAGCUAGUUGGUGAGGUAACGGCUCACCAAGGCGACGAUACAUAGCCGACCUGAGAGGGUGAUCGGCCACACUGGGACUGAGACACGGCCCAGACUCCUACGGGAGGCAGCAGUAGGGAAUCUUCGGCAAUGGACGGAAGUCUGACCGAGCAACGCCGCGUGAGUGAAGAAGGUUUUCGGAUCGUAAAGCUCUGUUGUAAGAGAAGAAAGAGUGGGAGAGUGGAAAGUUCACACUGUGACGGUAUCUUACCAGAAAGGGACGGCUAACUACGUG